AUGGCUCAGGAUGAACGCUAGCAGAACGCCUAACACAUGCAAGUCGAACGCCCCGAUUUAUCGGGGAGUGGCAGACGAGCGAGUAACACGUACUAACUGCCCUUGAGAUGGGAACAACUAUAGAGAUAUAGCUAAUUCCCAAUAUGCUCACGAUGGUGAAAUCCCAAUGUGAGGAAAGAUUUAUCGCUCAAGGAGAGGGGUGCGUCCUAUCAGGUAGUUGGUAAGGUAACGGCUUACCAAGCCUAUGACGGGUAGCCGGUUUGAGAUGAUGAUCGGCCGCGAUGGGACUGAGAUACGGCCCAUACUCCUACGGGAGGCAGCAGUGGGGAAUAUUGCACAAUGGGCGAAAGUCUGAUGCAGCCGAUUCUGCGUGGAGGAUGAAGCAUUGCGGUGUGUAAACUCCUUUUCUGGUAGAAGACGAAUGACGGUAUACCAGGAAUAAGGGACGGCUAACUAUGUGCCAGCAGCGGC
rnacentral:rRNA from 1 species